CCUCUUUCUAUAAGUAUUCUAGGAGAAGAAAUCCUACCAAUGAAGAAGUGUUGCAAAAAUUGCAGGUAUUACAAGCACAAGUCUCUGAAUUGCAAAGAGAUAAAGAGAUGUAUAUGAGAGAAAAGUGCAAUACUUCAUUGGUGAAAGAAACUAGUGAUAAAGCUAGUAUCAACUGUUAAAGAAAAUUUCCCGAGGGCAUUUCAUUUUGCCAACUAUACUUAUCGUCACCGAAUCAUCGCCUAGUUGGCAAGGGAAAAGUGCACAACACUUUGGGAGAUUUACUUCACCAUAGACCGCUCCCGGAUGGACACCUGAAAGUAUCAGUUGAUGUGGUAUUAGAUCAUGAUGCGGUGCUACCGGUACCCGACAUGGUCUCAGAGACAACAUUGCUGCGAGAUGAAAUAGGGCCAUUUGUUGCAUGACCCUCGGAGCUAAUUUUCAUUGGUGAUGAGACUACUCCUACAAAACCCACAAUUAAGGGUAAAGGGAUUUUGCAGGAGGACGAG